rnacentral:rRNA from 1 species
UACAGAGGAUGCAAGCGUUAUCCGGAAUGAUUGGGCGUAAAGCGUCUGUAGGUGGCUUUUUAAGUCCGCCGUCAAAUCCCAGGGCUCAACUCUGGACAGGCGGUGGAAACUACCAAGCUGGAGUACGGUAGGGGCAGAGGGAAUUUCCGGUGGAGCGGUGAAAUGCGUAGAUAUCGGGAAGAACACCAGUGGCGAAAGCACUCUGCUGGGCCGCGACUGACACUGAGAGACGAAAGCUAGGGGAGCGAAUGGG